GAUUUAACCUGUUAAUCUACCUGUUAAAAAUAAGUGUUAAUUUCGACUAUUUCGCUUACGCUUGAUGUCAAAUUAUAUCUAAUUUGAAAUCUUUUAAAUUACAUAGAAACGAAAUGUACUGUAAUAUGUUCAGUAGAAGUUCAUAUAAUUAUACCUAGAACUGGUAAAUAAUCAUAUCUACAUGUACACAUGUUAGCUAAUUUGCCAAUAAUUAGAUGGACCUCGGUUCUCUAAACAACUUGGAUGUUAUCUAUACUAUGUCCAUGUAAUACUGGUUGUAUCCAAUUAUCUUUGUGUAGUUAUAAUUAAUAUGGGGUUUACAUGUAGACUUCAGGUCACGAACCCCAUAACCAUAUUAAGUUAGGGGAAAUCUAUCUGACCGGCCGAUGCACAUCAUGAGCAUAUAAAAGAGAAGCCUUCCAUUGAAACUAUUGUCAUUCCUACCCGUCUGCGAACGGACACUACCUACACAUACCUGCACCAAUAAACAGAGGAACCUCAA